rnacentral:rRNA from 1 species
AUUGAACGCUGGCGGCAGGCCUAACACAUGCAAGUCGAACGAGUGGCGGACGGGUGAGUUAUGUCUGGGAAACUGCCUGAUGGUGGGGGAUAGCUACUGGAAACGGUAGCUAAUACCGCAUACCAUCAGAUGUGCCCAGAUGGGAUUAGCUUGUUGGUGGGGUAUCGGCUCACCAAGGCGACGAUGCCUAGCUGGUCUGAGAGGAUGACCAGCCACACUGGAACUGUGACACGGUCCAGACUCCUACGGUAGGCAGCAGUGGGGAAUAUUGUAUAAUGGGCGCAAGCCUGAUGCAGCCAUGCCGCGUGUAUGAAGAAGGCCUUCGGGUUGUAAAGUACUUUCAGCGGGGAGGCGUUACCCGCAGAAGAAGCGCCGGCUAACUCCGUGCCAGCAGCCGCGGUAAUUC